CGAGGUAGCUCAUUCGGUAGAGCAAAGGACUGAAAAUCCUUGUGUAGGCGGUUCGAUUCCGUCCCUCGGC
rnacentral:tRNA from 1 species